GUCGUAAUUGAAUAUGUGUUGCCCAGCUGUUUAUGUGUGUGUGAUUGGUCGCUGAUUUUGAAGUGGCUUGUUAGACACACUGGCACAGUAGGGUUGACUUUCAGGUUUAAUCAUGA
rnacentral:precursor_RNA from 8 species